GACGUAGGGCGCGAGCGUUGUCCGGAUUUAUUGGGCGUAAAGAGCUCGUAGGCGGCUUGUCGCGUCGAAUGUGAAAUCUCAGGGCUCAACUCUGACAUUGCAUUCGAUACGGGCAGGCUCGAGUUCGGUAGGGGAGACUGGAAUUCCUGGUGUAGCGGUGAAAUGCGCAGAUAUCAGGAGGAACGACCGGUGGCGAAGGCGGGUCUCUGGGCCGAUACUGACGCUGAGGAGCGAAAGCGUGGGGAGCGAACAGG
rnacentral:rRNA from 1 species